GUCUACAGCCCUACCACCCUGAACACACCCAAUCUCAUCUGAUCUCAGAAACAAAGCAGGGUCGGGCUUGGUUAGUACUUGGGUAGGAGAAUAUUCCUGUCCACUCCCUUCUCUGUCUGGGGAGAGGACCAGCAGUCA
ensembl:rRNA 5S_rRNA 5S ribosomal RNA